rnacentral:rRNA from 1 species
UACGUAGGCAGCGAGCGUUGUUCGGAGUUACUGGGCGUAAAGAGUGCGUAGGCGGUUCUCUAAGUUUGGUGUGAAAUCUCCCGGCUUAACUGGGAGGGUGCGCCGAAAACUGGAAGGCUUGAGUAUGGGAGAGGUAAGCGGAAUUCCUGGUGUAGCGGUGAAAUGCGUAGAUAUCAGGAGGAACACCUGCGGUGUAGACGGCUUACUGGACCAUAACUGACGCUGAGGCACGAAAGCGUGGGUAGCAAACAGG